rnacentral:lncRNA from 1 species
UCGGUGAUCGUGCUCCCCGCGGGCCACCCGGCGACGUUCGUGGCCGGGAACGAGGGGAACCUCGCCCUGCUGUCCUUCGGCGUGGGCGCCAACAACGACGAGGAGGUGUUCGUGACCGGCGGGAACAGCGUGCUGAAGCAGCUGGACGACGCGGCCAAGGCGCUGGCGUUCCCCCAGCAGGCGAGGGAGCUGGCGGACAGGGUCAUCCGCGCGCAGCCGGAGUCCGUGUUCGUCGCCGGCCCGCAGCAGCAGCGCCGCGUCGCCGACAUGUGAGCGACGAUCUCGAGCGUGCGCAUGCGGUUCGUGGAGCUGCAUGCAUGAGUGUACAUGUGACGGGAAUAAAUAGCUAGCACGG